GUCUCUCCAACGGCUUGCACACAUGCAACCUAGAACAUAAUGGAAAACAAUGAUCGCUAAUUACAAAUAUAUCCACGUACUUACUUUAGAUGACCUUAUCUUAGGAGUUUUAUCUCUCAACAGGAAGCAGUGAAAUGUGUGAAGUGACCUCACUGGUGCUUUUAAUAACGUUCGGCGUUUCCUUUGAAAACAGUUAAUCACCAAACAAACAAACAAUGAUCAUCAGAGGAUAUCUGGCAUUGAAUGAUCUACUUUAUGCAAUAACAAUAACGUAAAAACAGUAAUAUGACUGUGAAACUGAAAUGUUUUUGCUGAAGUUUGUUUCUCUCUGUCCAAACCAGAGGAAGUGUCACCUCCAGCUGUUUAUCUCACUUGUGUCUCGUCUGUGUCUGACACAGGAGACGCACCACAGCUCCAGUGGUUUCAAACAGGUCCUUUUCAAAAGCUGCUUGGGAAUAAAAAAGGGUUUUCAUCAAGACGAGAUGAAAUAAGCUUUAUGCAUCUAAAAAUGCCUCACAAUGCAUUGAUGGAAUUUCCAACGGUCUUCAUAUUCGACGAUAUAUUUCAUACACUACAUUUCUGUAUAUAUCACAUUUGCUUAUGGGGCUUAUCAGUUUUAUUGAGAUACAAUCAUCUACAAUUCAGUUAUGUGGAAAUACUGUAAAACUGAAAACCCUCCCGUGCAGCUCCACUCUUAGAAGAAUGAAAAUUAACCUGGCAACCUUGACUGAAAGAUGCAUUGAUGACCUCAUCAGUUCCUUUUUCAACCUUUUUCUAGAUAGCAAUGACAUUAUUAUUAUUGUUUUUAUUCAUAGAAUACAUUACUAAUAUAAUUUGACUAUAUAAACAGAACUGUUUAAUACAUAAACCA